AAGUAGGUAGCUUAACCUUCGGGAGGGCGCUUACCACUUUGUGAUUCAUGACUGGGGUGAAGUCGUAACAAGGUAACCGUAGGGGAACCUGCGGUUGGAUCACCUCCUUA
rnacentral:rRNA from 3 species